rnacentral:rRNA from 1 species
UAGGGGGCAAGCGUUAUCCGGAUUUACUGGGUGUAAAGGGAGCGUAGACGGCAUGGCAAGCCAGAUGUGAAAUACCGGGGCUCAACUCCGGGACUGCAUUUGGAACUGUUAAGCUGGAGUGUCGGAGAGGCAGGCGGAAUUCCUAGUGUAGCGGUGAAAUGCGUAGAUAUUAGGAGGAACACCAGUGGCGAAGGCGGCCUGCUGGACGAUUACUGACGUUGAGGCUCGAAAGCGUGGGGAGCAAA